GUGGCAGGUGCCAAGCGGUUCAACAUGUGGCCCGCCAGAGCAUAAGAGAACAUGGUGGCUGGAGGCCAACAUCCGCACCCAUCUCCCAGACCUCAGUGUUUACACACCUCCUCCUCUUCCCGCUGGCAACUCCGCCGCUGAUAAACACGGUUUCCGCUCCCGUCCACGACACUGUAAGUGUUUACUCCCGCGCCUCGCCUCAACUCCUCAAGAAUAGACGGCGUGGCGGCCACACUUUUACCACAAGAGUGUUCAGUGACGCACUUGACAGAGAAAUAAAAGAUAUAGUUCAUAGAGAACUAGACUGUGACAAGAGCAUGCGGCCACACUCGAACGAGUGCAGCAUCUCCCACGAAAGAAUGUUGUUAACUCGUUGAGUACUUUUCGUCCCGGGAAGCAACGAGGCCUCGAGGCAACACGUCAAAGUUUACACAGUGCACUCAGUUUGAGUGCACUCACACUGGGCUUCACGAGUAGUGUCCACACACGCAACAAGGGGCUACAUCCCUCGACGGAAACACCAUAGAAAUGUCAAUUAUUCAGCUAAAAUACUUUAUACAAUGUGAAUAAAGCGUUGUUUCAGCGCCAGAAGCGACGGUGUGUGUAUGACAAGUGACCAGAUGUGUAUGAAGAGGCACAAAGAGGGCGAGUGUGAGAGCCUCAAUACACUCCAACACACAGUACUAGCCCGAGGCACUUGUCUUCCAGGCCCCAAGUAGGUUGUGCCAGUAUUCUGAAGUGUUUACAAAACUGCCCCUUAACUCUGUGUACACAAUUAGUGCCAUGUUGACUUAUAAUCUUCAGAAAUAGUUGUGAAGUGCCAUGAAACUAUUUGUUUGCCAACUUCUACACGUUGACUUAUAUUUCACGUUUAAUGUUUGCCACUAAUAAUAAUAAUAAUUCCAACGCAUUCUAAACUUCAGAUAUUUAUCAUUAACAAUUAGUCCUAGACAAUUCAGAAAUUAAAGUUAAAUACCAAUGUACUGAUCAAUAAAGAAGACACACACA